CCCUUAGAUGUCCUGGGCUGCACGCGCGCUACACUGAUGUGUCCAGUAAGCACCUAACCUCUUCCGAAAGGAACGGGUAACCUUUGCAAAGCACAUCGUGAUGGGGAUAGAUUAUUGCAAUUAUUAGUCUUGAACGAGGAAUUCCUAGUAAGCGCAAGUCAUCAGCUUGCGUCGAUUACGUCCCUGCCCUUUGUACACACCGCCCGUCGCUCCUACCGAUUGGGUGUGCUGGUGAAAUGUUCGGAUCGGCCGUUUGUCGCGGUUUCCGCGUCAUGUGGCUGAGAAGUUCAUUAAACCCUCCCACCUAGAGGAAGGAGAAGUCGUAACA
rnacentral:rRNA from 1 species